rnacentral:rRNA from 1 species
GAUGAACGCUGGCGGCGUGCCUAAUACAUGCAAGUCGAGCGAACAGACGAGGAGCUUGCUCCUCUGAUGUUAGCGGCGGACGGGUGAGUAACACGUGGAUAACCUACCUAUAAGACUGGGAUAACUUCGGGAAACCGGAGCUAAUACCGGAUAACAUGUUGAACCGCAUGGUUCAACAGUGAAAGACGGUCUUGCUGUCACUUAUAGAUGGAUCCGCGCCGCAUUAGCUAGUUGGUAAGGUAACGGCUUACCAAGGCAACGAUGCGUAGCCGACCUGAGAGGGUGAUCGGCCACACUGGAACUGAGACACGGUCCAGACUCCUACGGGAGGCAGCAGUAGGGAAUUUUGCACAAUGGGGGAAACCCUGAUGCAGCGACGCCGCGUGAUUUAGAAGGCCUUCGGGUUGUAAAAAUCUUUUUUAUGGGAUGAAAAUGACAGUACCAUAAGAAUAAGGUCCGGCUAAAUACGUGCCAGCAGCCGCGGUAAUACGUAUGGACCGAGCGUUGUCCGGAAUCAUUGGGCGUAAAGGGUACGUAGGCGGCCUAGUAAGUUAGAAGUGAAAUAAUAUAGCUCAACUAUAUAAAGCUUUUAAAACUGUUAGGCUUGAGAGAUGAAAGGGAAAGUGGAAUUCCUAGUGUAGCGGUGAAAUGCGCAGAUAUUAGGAAGAAUACCGGUGGCGAAGGCGACUUUCUGGUCAUCAUCUGACGCUGAGGUACGAAAGCGUGGGUAGCAAACAGGAUUAGAUACCCUGGUAGUCCACGCUGUAAACGAUGAGUGUUAGGUUCUUGGAAUAAUCUGGGAGCCGCAGCUAACGCAUUAAACACUCCGCCUGGGGAGUACGCACGCAAGUGUGAAACUCAAAGGAAUUGACGGGGACCCGCACAAGCAGCGGAGCAUGUGGUUUAAUUCGACGCAACGCGAAGAACCUUACCAAGUCUUGACAUAAUACGGAGGGAAUUAGAGAUAGUUUCUUAAGACUUCGGUCUACUGUAUUACAGGUGGUGCAUGGUUGUCGUCAGCUCGUGUCGUGAGAUGUUGGGUUAAGUCCCAUAACGAGCGCAACCCCUAUCGUUAGUUACCAUCAUUAAGUUGGGGACUCUAGCGAUACUGCCGGUGAUAAACCGGAGGAAGGUGGGGACGACGUCAAAUCAUCAUGCCCUUUAUGACUUGGGCUACACACGUGCUACAAUGGCAGAUACAGAGGGCAGCGAAAGAGCGAUCUGAAGCGAAACUCACAAAGUCUGUCCCAGUUCGGAUUGUACUCUGCAACUCGAGUACAUGAAGUUGGAGUUGCUAGUAAUCGCGAAUCAGAAUGUCGCGGUGAAUGCGUUCCCGGGUCU